UUUUCAGGAAAUAAAGAGAAUUCUUUGUUAUCGAUUUUCUUUGAAAAGGUGGUUCAAUAUCAGUUCAUCUUGAAAUUCUUGAAAAUAUCCGUCAACAAUUAUAUAUAUGAUAAUGCAUACCUACUUAUUGCUUUUUUGGCUUUCAGAUGAUUUGUUCAGUUUAUCUUUGAUGGUUUUACUCUGAAUGAAGCAAAACCAUUCGAUCGUCUUCAAUUGUAAAACUAUCAAUUAGUGUGCUCAAUACUUUAUUUUAGAUAAUAUCACUAACUCUAGCCAAAUCUAGGAGGUUUCAAAUGCUCUAGAAUAGAGUACUCCACAGAUAUUUUGGAGCAUGAAACAUGUACCUAUGUUAUCGACUGUGGAAGAAGAAUUCAAAUUGGAGAGGUUUGAGCAGCAUCUAGCAGAGGAGAAGAAGGAUCUGAAACGGGUUGAACCAAUUGACUACAAAGAUUCUUCUGUAAGAUUUACUUUCGGGAACCCUCCAAGGUUUGAUGUGUUUAGACCAUCCUACCAAAGCUAAUGAUCUCAAGGUUCUGGAGAACUUGAAUUACCACAAGGUUACCAAACCUAGUUGAUUUGAAGAAUCUUAUCUUAGCAUUUAGAGACAUGCAUCUCCAGAUCUCUUUCAUUCAAUCAAUCUUCACACAUUCACAUAAGAUUACGUAAUUAAGGUUCAAGAUAUUUCACAACAAUUGCAAUAGUUACAAAUCUUAACCGUCCUAUAUAUGCAUUCUUAAAUCAACAUGUUCAGUGCAUAAUAAUGCUACAACUUGACCAGAUCGGCGUUUUUUUCCGAUCCGGCUAUGAGGUUGAUUCCCAACCCUAUUCCUCCUUGCAUUCUUGCCUUUUAAAUUUGAUAAAUCCAAUAAAUUUAUUUUCAAUCGAUUCAACCAGUUUUUAGUCUUAAAGUUGUGCUCAAAGCAUUUAAAUUUUACCAUUUUUUCUCAUAAUUAAAAUGACCAUCUAUUUGUAGAGUGCCAUGUACCAUUUAGCCCUUUUUGGUUUAAUAAUGAGAAAGAUAUCUAGGUCUUUCAGUUUUUGAAUUUUACCUCACAAAUCAACAAGUGAUUUUUUUUAUAGAGAACCACAAUCAGAAAUAAUUUUGGUUUUGAGAUAGCAAAUACAAAUAUAAUUCAUUUUGAUCAUACUAAGGUUUUAAGAUUACUUUAAAAUCAAGUCAUGUUAGUUCUCAUUUGGUGAUAAGUAUAAAUCAAUAAUCAGUAUUUAGAAUUUGAGAUUUUAAAGUUUUACAGUUUUAAAAUGUUGUCUUUCUCUACCUUUUUAUUUUCGAAUACAUGGUUCAAUUUUAGAUAGCUUAUAUCUGGGUUAUGAACAAACACUUAAUAAGUAAAAGCCGUUUCAGAAAAAGUUUAUUAUUUAUAUUUUCUGGUGCAAAGUAUCAUGAUCAUUAAGUUAUACCUGGUUUUAAAUUUUUCCUAUAUGUUUUUAUACCACCGUCUUUCUA